rnacentral:rRNA from 1 species
CCCUUAGAUGUCCGGGGCUGCACGCGCGCUACACUGAAGGAAUCAGCGUGCUAAAACCAUUGUCGAAAGGCAUUGGUAAACCCAUUAAAAUCCUACGUGAUUGGGAUCGGGAAUUGCAAUUAUUUCCCUUGAACGAGGAAUUCCCAGUAAGUGUGGGUCAUAAGCUCGCGUUGAUUACGUCCCUGCCCUUUGUACACACCGCCCGUCACUGCCCGGGACUGAGCCGUUUCGAGAAAAGCGGGGACUGCUGCUGUCGGGGCUUUCGGGCCUUGGCUUCGGUGGAAACCGCUUUAAUCGCAGUGGCUUGAACCGGGCAAAAGUCGUAACA